AUUGAACGCUGGCGGCAUGCCUUACACAUGCAAGUCGAACGGUAACAGGUCUUCGGAUGCUGACGAGUGGCGAACGGGUGAGUAAUACAUCGGAACGUGCCCGAGAGUGGGGGAUAACGAGGCGAAAGCUUUGCUAAUACCGCAUACGAUCUCAGGAUGAAAGCAGGGGACCGCAAGGCCUUGCGCUCACGGAGCGGCCGAUGGCAGAUUAGGUAGUUGGUGGGAUAAAAGCUUACCAAGCCGACGAUCUGUAGCUGGUCUGAGAGGACGACCAGCCACACUGGGACUGAGACACGGCCCAGACUCCUACGGGAGGCAGCAGUGGGGAAUUUUGGACAAUGGGCGCAAGCCUGAUCCAGCCAUGCCGCGUGCAGGAUGAAGGCCUUCGGGUUGUAAACUGCUUUUGUACGGAACGAAGAGACUCCUUCUAAUAAAGGGGGUCCAUGACGGUACCGUAAGAAUAAGCACCGGCUAACUACGUGCCAGCCGCCGCCGUAACAC
rnacentral:rRNA from 1 species